rnacentral:misc_RNA from 1 species
GAUGAAGAACGCAGUGAAAUGCGAUAAGUAGUGUGAAUUGCAGAAUUCAGUGAAUCAUCGAAUCUUUGAACGCACAUUGCGCCCUUUGGUAUUCCAAAGGGCAUGCCUGUUCGAGCGUCAUUUGUACCCUCAAGCUUUGCUUGGUGUUGGGCGUCUUGUCUCUAGCUUUGCUGGAGACUCGCCUUAAAGUAAUUGGCAGCCGGCCUACUGGUUUCGGAGCGCAGCACAAGUCGCACUCUCUAUCAGCAAAGGUCUAGCAUCCACUAAGCCUUUUUUUCAACUUUUGACCUCGGAUCAGGUAGGGAUACCCACUGAACUUAAGCAUAUCAAUAAGCGGAGGA